rnacentral:tRNA from 1 species
GAUAAGAUGGCUGAAAUUUUUAGGCUAUAAAUUGUAAAUUUAUAUAUGGUGAAUGUACCUCUUAUCA